UACGGGGGGGGCAAGCGUUGUUCGGAAUUACUGGGCGUAAGGGCUGGUAGGCGGCCAACUAAGUCGGAUGUGAAAUCCCCAGGCUUAACCUGGGAACUGCAUCCGAUACUGGUCGGCUUGAAUCCGGGAGAGGGAUGCAGAAUUCCAGGUGUAGCGGUGAAAUGCGUAGAUAUCAGGAGGAACACCGGUGGCGAAGGCGGGUCUCUGGGCCGAUACUGACGCUGGAGGAGCGAAAGCGUGGGGAGCGAACAGG
rnacentral:rRNA from 1 species